rnacentral:rRNA from 1 species
GACGAACGCUGGCGGCGUGCUUAACACAUGCCAGUCGAACGGACAGGCCCUGCUUUUGUGGGGUGCUCGAGUGGCGAACGGGUGAGUAACACGCGAGUAACCUGCCCUUGACUUUGGGAUAACUUCAGGAAACUGGGGCUAAUACCGGAUAGGAGCUCCUGCUGCAUGGUGGGGGUUGGAAAGUUUCGGCGGUUGGGGAUGGACUCGCGGCUUAUCAGCUUGUUGGUGGGGUAGUGGCUUACCAAGGCUUUGACGGGUAGCCGGCCUGAGAGGGUGACCGGCCACAUUGGGACUGAGAUACGGCCCAGACUCCUACGGGAGGCAGCAGUGGGGAAUAUUGCACAAUGGGCGGAAGCCUGAUGCAGCAACGCCGCGUGCGGGAUGACGGCCUUCGGGUUGUAAACCGCUUUCGCCUGUGACGAAGCGUGAGUGACGGUAAUGGGUAAAGAAGCACCGGCUAACUACGUG